GACGAAGGGGGCUAGCGUUGUUCGGAAUUACUGGGCGUAAAGGGCGCGUAGGCGGUCUUGUCAGUCAGGCGUGAAAGCCCUGGGCUCAACCUGGGAGGUGCGCUUGAUACUGCAAGGCUUGAGUGCAGGAGAGGAUGGUGGAAUUCCCAGUGUAGAGGUGAAAUUCGUAGAUAUUGGGAAGAACACCGGUGGCGAAGGCGGCCAUCUGGACUGCAACUGACGCUGAGGCGCGAAAGCGUGGGGAGCAAACAGG
rnacentral:rRNA from 2 species